UCCGGCUUAUCGCCGGCAGUCCCACUAGAGUGCCCAACUGAAUGAUGGCAACUAAUGGCAAGGGUUGCGCUCGUUGCGGGACUUAACCCAACAUCUCACGACACGAGCUGACGACAGCCAUGCAGCAUCUGUGGUGCACCCUCGAAGGUCACACGUUUCCGUGCGCUUGCAGCACCAUGUCAAGCCCAGGUAAGGUUCUUCGCAUAGCAUCGAAUUAAAGAACAUGCUCCGCUGCUUGUGCGGGUCCCCGUCAAUUCCUUUGAGUUUUAACCUUGCGGCCGUACUCCCCAGGCGGUCGACUUCACGCGUUAGCUUCGUUACUGAGAGUGUCAAACCCCCAACAACCAGUCGACAUCGUUUAGGGCGUGGACUAC
rnacentral:misc_RNA from 1 species